GCCUAGUGAUAGUUUGACAAGGCUUUGGUAGAGGUUGUGUUAGUAGUAUUUCCAUGGGUAGUGUUAUGAGCCUAGUGAUAGUUUGACAAGGCUUUGGUAGAGGUUGUGUUAGUAGUAUUUCCAUGGGUAGUGUUAUGAGCCUAGUAAUAGUUUGACAAGGCUUUGGUAGAGGUUGUGUUAGUAGUAUUUCCAUGGGUAGUGUUAUGAGCCUAGUGAUAGUUUGACAAGGCUUUGGUAGAAGUUGUGUUAGUAGUAUUUCCAUGGGUAGUGUUAUGAGCCUAGUGAUAGUUUGACAAGGCUUUGGUAGAGGUUAUGUUAGUAGUAUUUCCAUGGGUAGUGUUAUGAGCCUAGUGAUAGUUUGACAAGGCUUUGGUAGAGGUUGUGUUAGUAGUAUU